UACGUAGGGUGCGAGCGUUGUCCGGAAUUAUUGGGCGUAAAGAGCUCGUAGGCGGUCUGUCGCGUCGGCUGUGAAAUCCCGGAGCUCAACUCCGGGCCUGCAGUCGAUACGGGCAGACUGGAGUUCGGCAGGGGAGACUGGAAUUCCUGGUGUAGCGGUGAAAUGCGCAGAUAUCAGGAGGAACACCGGUGGCGAAGGCGGGUCUCUGGGCCGAUACUGACGCUGAGGAGCGAAAGCGUGGGGAGCGAACAGG
rnacentral:rRNA from 1 species